AGUUGCUGAAUUCCUUGGAGUCUUAAAUUGAUAUUGCAAACUACACAGAAGCUUGGAAUUCUUCAUGUUUUUAAUGGGGAAGGAGAGGGCAGUUUUAUGACAUUUGAUUACCAGAUAAUAAUCUGCAUUUGUCAUAACUUGCUGACUCUUAAUCUCAAGCCAGCACGUUCACCUUGUUCCUGACAUCAGUCUGAUUUGCUUACCUGUUAUUGGUCACGAUAUUUAUUUUUAAACAGGUUAGAACUUGUUAUUAAGAUAAAAAGCAACAACAAAACAGUAUUGAAACCUUAGUUUUGAUAUUUCAAAGAAAUGACUUUCUUUUCUAGAUUUUUAAAAAUAGUUUUGUAGAAUUUUAAGCUUAACCAUUAUUUAGUUUGUUUCAUCCAUUUUUAUUUGCUUUUCUAAUUGCCUGUCCUCAUUUCGGUAAAUUGUAAAAUAAUUUAAAUAGUAUAUCUGUAAAUAUGUAAAAUUAUAAUGAUGUAAAAUACUUUGUGUGUGUGUGUGUAUGUUUGGGUGUAUACACACACAUAAAUGGCUGUACCUAGCCAAGGACUUUUUUAUUUGUAUAAAACUUUUUAUAUAAAGUUUGCUUUCUUUACCAGUAAUGUAUAAAUAAAACCAUGUAAAGUUCUGUUAUAUUUUGAUUAGAAUGUUUCUUUUAGUGUGCUUAGAUAAUAAUUGAAACAAAAAAAAGGUAAAACUCCCAGAGAACAUGGGGGCUAUUUUGAAGUGCUUCCUGGUUAGGGUGUGGCUGACUGAACGCGUGGCUGGCUGAAUGUGUUGGAGCAGAUUAAUUGGAAAAAACCAGUUGCUUUUGCCUGCUUUCUCACAGCAGGUAGUGGUACAGUGAACUGUGCUGCAGGUGUCCUCACAGACAAAAUCAGGGCAGCACAAAAACUCCUUUGGGGUGAAGAUCUGGGAAAAACAGGUAAGGAUUAACUAGCUAUGCAUUAUUUAUUCAUCCCUCCCCCCCUUCAGACUGGUGGUACUGAUGGGUUACAAUCUAGGCUUUGUACUCUAUGAAAUUGCCAUUUCUCCCACAGUGUCCAGCAUCUGCAGGAGAAGCCCUGAUGUGAAGGAUUACUUGGUAGAUAACAAACUAAAAUAAUGAACUGUGGUUUUGUAGUGCUGGGGCUGCCUAGAGGGCUGGCCCUCAGCCCUUCCCCAGUGCAUUCUAUCACUCAGAACCCUUACCACCAGGUGAAUGAGUUCACGAGCCAAAGUGAAGUAGCAACUAAGAGAUACCACUGGUUUAAAAGAAAAUAAACAGGAUUACAUGAGACCAUAACAAUCUAAGAUAAAGCCAAUAAACGUUAAAAGGAAAAAGAGAAGAUUUUGUCAGUGUGGUGCAAGAAUCAGAACUAACCACGUAGAAAUAUUAAAAAUAUAAUAUUUAAGAUAAAUGUAAUAAAAGGGAAUGAAAAUAGAGUGGAUACAGCUGAUGCAUGAAUUCGUUGAAAAGUUGGAUUGAGAAACUCUUCUAGAAGGCAGCAAAAAAAGGAUAAAUAGAAAAUGAAUGCAGACGUAAGUGGGACGAAGGACAGAAGCAGAUGUGCCAACAUUUAAGUAACAAAUGAGGUCAGAGGAAGAAAACAUUUGAAGACUGAGAGGGCCAUAGAGUGCCAAACAAGAAAGAAGAGAGCACCCACAUCUAGACACACACCGGAAUUAGGAGUAUCAAAGACGACAAGAAAAAUCUAAAGGCUUUUAGACAGUCAAUCCUUGCAUAAAGGAACAAGAAUCAUAUUGACCUUACUCUUCAGAAGAGCAAUGCUGGCUGUGAGGAAACAGUAUUUUUAAGGUACUGGACCUAAAAUUUUAUAUCCAUUUAAAUUGUUAUUCAAAUGUGAGGGUUUAAUAAAAAACAUUAAUAUUCAUCACUCAAAGAUCCACACUGUAAACAUUUUUGGAGAGAAUACUCAACAAAAAACAAGUGCAGGAAAUAUUUCAAGAACUAGGGGUGAGUGAGCAGAUACCUUGGUAAAGUGUGUACAGGCUGACCUCAGCGAUCCUGCAGGUUUGGUUCCAGACCACUGCAAUAAGGCAAACAUUGCAAUAAAGCAAGUCACGAAGUUUUUGGUUUCCGCUUCUGCCCAUAGGAAUUUAUAUCACCGGGUGUGAACAAGGUGGCAUGGUGAAUACGGGCACCAUUGACUAGCCUAAAGGCAGUGGCUAGUGAAGCUCUCACCCUGUGUGCAUCUUCCUCUAUCCUGAGACAUUUAUUCUCUCUAGGCUUUCUGUUCCCUUCUGUUUCUCUGCGUGUGUUUUGGGCCUCUUAGUGACUCCAUAGAUUGAGCAUAACUUUCGGUGAGAGUAAAAGGAACUUAAAAAAAAAAAACUUGUCUGUGGAAGUGGUUCUCAGCCUUUAGUGUGCUAAUUUUUGCUCAGCCUUUGGGCCGGUUGGAAUGAGGCAGUGGGUGUCUUUCCCACAGCUGUGCAGUGCUAAUAUUACUUACCUCAUCAAUAAUUUCCAGUUAUUACUGUGAGGUUAUGGAGAGUUGCCCACUCUGUGCCUCUGUCUUAAAGAUAUUCACCUACUUGCUAAGUCUUCAAGAGUGAAGUGAUAAGAUUGAUUCACCUGCUGAAGACUUUAAAAAAUCAGAUAUAUGGUUCCAUUUAUUGUUUAUUUUCUAGUUUACACAUAUAUUUUCUUGAAUAGGUAAUACAUUCACUGUUCAGUGAACCAUAUAAGAGUAUCCAUCUCACCUCUUCUCCAGUCACUGGGUUACCUUUCCUUGAGGCAACUAAUAUUAGGAGUUACUCUACGUACGCUUCUGAGUUGUUCUUUGCAUAAAUGUAUGAUUUUAAUGUUUUGGCUCUGGUAAAAUGCAUUAAAGGUAUUAAUUUGCAGCUGACUUUUAGGAUUAAAUGUCAAGGGCUUUCUUGGACAAUGUACCCAGUACUACACAGAUACACAUAUUAAUACAUCGUGUGUUUUCACCUCUAGUUAAUUCUGACAGUCAGUUUGUAUUUGAGGCUAGUGUGCCGGGGUAGUGGAAAUUUAACCUCUUUACCUGUCUACCUUUCAUUAUCAUCUAUUUUUUAAAAUUAAAUAUAUGAAAAUAGAAUAGGCAGAUGAUACUUAUGAAGUGUCAAUAACUUUAUGUACUUUCUAUAUUUUAUAUGGAAAAGAGCGGAUUUAGAAAUGUGCCUCGGAGCUGUGUUCUAGGGACACCCUUGCUGUCAACUCCUCUAAGGUGGCAGUUAGAUUGUGUACUUGAGAUGCGACUAAUGUAAGAUGCUACAAGGCUGGGAGUUAGGAGAUCUGGUCUCUGUCUGCAUUGGGCAAAUCAUUUGACCUCUCUGAAUUAAAACACUUUACAAAAAUGUGAUAUAGGUUUCUAAGGUUCUCACAUUCUCUACUGGAAAAGAAAAUUUUCCUGAGCUGCCUGUUUCAGCCUAAUAGAAUAUUGCUAGAACACAUAACCUACAGACAGGCACAGCCCCCUCUUGGUGGUCUAAAGAUGCUUAAUUUCAUUUUGAGCUAUUUCUCCUUUCAGCCUGGCAUGAUUUGCAAGAGCACUUUGGGUUUGACUGUCACUCUGUUAUUGUUCCCAUUUGGUGAGGCCAGACUCAACCCAGGAAGCCGUUGAUGAAAUUGGACAUGACCCAUUGAUCUGCGACAUCAGUUCCCAGAGCAAUCAAUUGACUGAAAGAAAUGCACCCAAACUCAAAUCACCAUUGUCAUCCACAAACGACAAAGGAAAAUUCUCAUUUGUUUCACCUUUCGUUUCCAAAUAUGAUAUACUAGGAGGGGCUCCAGCUUCGUGCCAAUUAGAAAAAAAUAUGACAAGAGAAUUAAAAAGCACCAAAGGACAUCUUGACCUCAGGGGAGGACUAGGUUAGACUCCAUUGAUCAAAAUGACUGAGCUUAUUCUGCAUUGGUCCCCACAGCCAGUGGGUCAGAGCCUUUACAUCUGCAACCAGCAGUAUUUCCACUAAUUAGCCGCACAUGGUCCAACUUGAAGGUUCUUUGAGCCCAGUCAAUAAUUUUUUAUCCACUCCUAAGGUAAGUUGUAAAUAUAUGGUAUCUCUUGUUUAUGAGAAAUAUAGGAAAUCCCUGUGGGGAUACAAAGAUAAUAUUUGAAAUAAAAUUCAGGAAAGCACUGACUUUUUACACAGGAGAUGCUAAAUUAGUAUUUGAUUGAUAAUAAAAGAAAAUUCAAGAAUAUUUCUUGGACCUGUAGUUAUUUAAUAGUAAAAAAUAGUUAUUUUUAGGAAACAGGAACGCUUGUCUAAAGGAUCUUGCUCUUGCAUGCUAAUAUGCAUGAUUGUAUUUCUGUUUCAUGUAUUUCUGUUUUUCAGUGUUCCUUUUCUUUUUAAAAAUUAUAAUUUCCUAGUUUUAAAGCAAGAGUGGCAAAAAGAAGCAUUAAAUAGUUUAGGAUUUCUAAAUAGAGAAUAAGUUGAUAAAAUGAGCUAGCUUUUUCACCUUGGGGUUUUUACAGAAAAUAGAAGCUCUAGCUUUUUUUUUAAGUGCUAAAGGAGUUCUUUUUUUAAAUAAAGAAUAAUGGCCAGACAAUUUUAAAGGAAUAAUUAUGGGAAAGGACCUAAACUCUUUAAGAGAGGAUAGAGCUUAGUAAAUUAUUGCUUCUGUUAAUGAGGCAGAAGUCCACAAUUUUUAAAUCUAAUUUUUUAUUUGCAUGUGCUAGAUAUGACUACAUUUUUAAUUUUUGAAUUUCAAACAAUUCACAAGUAUAUAGAGUAAAAAAAGCCUCCUUAAUACCUCUUCCAAAUUCUGACAGGUACCUACUACUUUACAAAUUUUAUUUAAAAUAUUGUUUAUACAUAUGUAUGUACAUACAGCUAUAAAUUUACAUAAAUGUAUAUAUUAGAUUAAAAUCAGUCAUGCUUUCUUAGAAGAGUCUUUUUCCUUUUCCUUUUUCUUUUUUGCCUCUCCCUUUAAGCUCCCCCUUCCACCCGCAUGUUCUCCUACAGACCUCCAGUAACCUAUAUGAACUUCCUCAUGUGUGCCCUUCUGUAUUUUUUCUCCAUACUUCUAUAGCCACAUACACAUAUAUUUCCUAUACAUAUGCAUAUACAUAUAUGUAUAUUUAUAGGAUUUUAUUUUACUCAGUGAUCUAUGGAUGAAUUAAUUUGGGGAGAAUUGUCUUUAUAAAUUUUGAGUUUUCUAAUCCCUGAGCAUGGUAUAUCCCACCAUUAAAUUUAUUUAUUUAAAUAGCGGUAUGUGUAUGUGUAUUUAGCAUUGUCAGCUAUUCUCUUCUUUUUUUUUUUUUUUUAGAAUUUCACUUAUUUAUUUAUUUAUUUAUUUUUGGCUGUGUUGGGUCUUCGUUUCUGUGCGAGGGCUUUCUCUAGUUGAGGCAAGCGGGGGCCACUCUUCAUCGCGGUGUGCAGGCCUCUCACUAUCGCGGCCUCUCUUGUUACGGAGCACAGGCUCCAGACGCGCAGGCUCAGUAGCUGUGGCACACGGGCUUAGCCGCUCCGCGGCACGUGGGAUCUUCCCAGACCAGGGCUCGAACCCGUGUCCCCUGCAUUAGCAGGCAGAUUCUCAACCACUGCGCCACCAGGGAAGCCCAGCUAUUCUCUUCUUGAAACUCUGUCCUGCUUUGGUUUCAGUGACAUUGCCCUUAAUGGUUUUCCCCCUCUUUCUCUUUGGCCAUUUCUCAUUUUCAUCUGUAGACUUUUUUUCCCUGUGCUAUUUUUCAAGGUUUUGUCAUUGGCUUGCUUUUUCUUCUUGUCCCUAAGUGGUCUCUACCUAUUCAAUGAUUAUUCACAAAUGUUUAUUUAUCUCUAAUUUGCAACUUUUGUUGUUGUUGCCUUCUGGACAUCUCCACUUUUGCCAUUCAGUUUUGUUGGGUAAAAUCUGUAAGUUUUUUCCAGUUAUAAUUUCUGGCAUUAAUGGGCUUAAAAAGCCGCCUUCUACUUCAAGAUUAUAAAAUAUGUUUUUACAUUUUACUUUAAUACUUUUAUAGUUUAGUUUUUACAUUUAAUACUUGUAUUCCAUCUGGAAUUUAUUUUUGUGUUUGGAGAUAAGUAGGGAAAAUAUAACAGUUCCAUGUUUUUUUCUCUUGUAUUUUUGAGUUGAUAUUCAUUUGUUUUUUUUUUCACUGUCCAUUUUAUACGUUACUGGGCAUCCUUGGUGACUAAGUACUGUGAGGGCUGGACCAGGUAUAUCUUCAUUGUUGAAUUCCCUGGCAUCUAGCACAAUGCCUAUGUGAUAGUAACAUUUUAGUAAACAUUGUUGAAUGAAUGAAUUAUGGAAGGAGAGAAUUGUUUCAUUAUCUGUUGUAACUUAAUAACACUUAUCCUGUUUUUUUUCUAUGUCUUUCAUACAUGGAAGUCUUCCACAUCUUAGAAGCCUUUAAGCUCUCAAAUAUUUUAACUUCAUUGAACCUUGAAAAACAUUUGUUUUUUUCAGGGUAAACCGAGUAACCUAUUUAUAUCAGCUAUGCCUUGAUUCUUUCCCAGCACCCAAGCUUGCUAGAGAAGCAGUUUAUAUUCACUUUUCUUCUUUUUUUUUUUUUUUGUUAGUUUGUUUUUGUUUGAUUUGAAUUUUAUUUAUUUAUUUUUUAUACAGCAGGUCCUUAUUAGUUACCUAUUUUAUACAUGUUAGUGUAUACAUGUCAAUCCCAAUCACCCAAUUCAUCACACCACCACCACCACCCACUUUUCUUCUAAGUAAGCAGAGCUUCCGUGAAAACCUGCUGUUCCAGAUGUGGCUUUGUAGAUGUAAUCAUAUGUCAUUGCUGGUACUGUUUCUGAGCCUGCUUAAUCUUUACUGCUACCCUGUGCCAGUUCCUGAAGGUUUAUUUGGCUGAGUUCUGUUUUCUUUACUUGUACUUUCAGUCUUGCAGUGGGAGCCAUCGAUGAUACAUAAUGAGGAUCUAUUUUGUUUUUCUGUUGAUGAUUUUUCCAGUGAUAGAGUCAAGGAACUGAGUUUUAAAAAGAAAAGACAAUUCAAUCCACUAUUAUUUAUUGAUACCUUAGUGUGCCAGACCAAAAUGAAAUAGAAAGUGUCCCUAUCUGCAAAAAGAGUACCUUUUCAGGAAAGGUAACAUAAGACAACUAUCACAAAACUCAUUUUAGGCACAGUACCAAGUGAGUGGUAUAAACACUAGUAUUGUGUGAAUUUAGGAAUGGGAAAAAUCACUCUGACUUGGGAUGGCUGGGGAAAACUUCCUGGAGGAGUUGAGACUUAUUUAAGAUCAUGUAGGAUGUAUGGUAAAUAUGGCUUCUCAUAUGUUAGAAAAAUGAGCAAAAUUUUGGAAUGGAAUGCAUUGUACAAAUAUGAUGGCCAAUGAGUAUACCAGAAUGACAGUCAACUUUGUGUAGGAGAGAAGGGGACAGGAAGGGAAUUGGGUCAGAUUGGGGAGGGUCGUUAGUGUUUUUCCCAAAACAUAUUCCUUAGAAAUAUCCUGUUUCAGCAAGCACAGGCCAUAAAUAUUAGAGCUGGAAAAUCCCUUGUAGUUUUGUUGACAUGAAGAGAGGACCUGCUGUAUUGAUGAGCUCGUUGUCUUUAUAUAUGACAUCCAUGGAUGCUAUUAACCUCAGUGUUUUCUGUACAUUUCAGACAUUAGUCCCUUACCAUGGGGGAUUGGAAUUUAUUGGGUGGCAUCCUAGAGGAAGUUCACUCCCACUCAACCACGGUGGGGAAAAUCUGGCUGACCAUCCUCUUCAUUUUCCGGAUGCUGAUACUUGGUGUAGCUGCUGAAGAUGUCUGGGAUGAUGAACAGUCAGCAUUCGUCUGCAACACCCAGCAGCCAGGUUGCAACACUGUCUGUUACGAUGAUGCUUUCCCUAUCUCUUUGAUCAGGUUCUGGGUUUUUCAGAUCAUCUUUGUGUCUUCUCCCUCUCUGGUAUACAUGGGCCAUGCACUUUAUAGCCUCAGGGCCUUUGAAAAGGAGAGGCAGAGGAAAAAGUCACAGCUUAGAGCCCAGAUGGAGAAUCCAGAGCUUGAAUUGGAGGAGCAGCAAAAGAUAGAUAGAGAACUGAGGAAGCUGGAGGAGCAGAAGAAGAUCCAGAAAGUCCCUCUGAAAGGAUGUCUUCUGCGUACUUAUGUCUUACACAUCUUGACCAGAUCUGUGCUGGAAGUAGGGUUCAUGAUAGGCCAAUAUAUCCUCUAUGGGUUGCAAAUGCACCCCCUUUACAAAUGUACUCAACCUCCUUGCCCCAAUGCAGUGGACUGCUUCGUGUCCAGGCCCACAGAGAAGACCAUUUUCAUGCUGUUUAUGCACAGCAUUGCAGCCGUCUCUUUGUUCCUCAACGUACUGGAAAUAUUUCAUCUGGGGAUCAGGAAAAUCAUGAGGGCACUUUAUGACAAACCCAGCAGUGAGGGCAUUGAGGACGAAAGGGGACCUCCAUUUCAUUUGAAAAGAUAUUCAGCGGCCCAGCAGUGUAUGAAUUGCUCUCCCUUCCCUGAAAGAGUCUCUCUACUUCAAGCCAGCAAUCAACAGCAAGUCUUCCGAGUCAACGUGCCGAAUUCUAAAACCAUGUGGCAAAUCCCACAGCCCAGGCAACUUGAGGUAGACCCUUGCUGUAGUAAGAAAGACUGGGCCGAGGGGUAUCAGCACAGAGGACAGCUCCAUGUCCACAGCCCGUGUCCCUGGGAUGAUGGUGCUAGAGUUCAGCACUCGGGACAGCAACCAGACCGGUCUUCCUUUGGCUUGCAGACUACAACGCCCCAGUCCUGGCUCGGUACAACGAUGGCUCCUAGACAUUGUCCAUCACGUUCAACAGGACCCUGGGAGCAGUCCCAGGACCUGCAACCCUCAGGGGAGCCUCUCACAGAUCUACACAGUCACUGCAGACACAGCGAUGGCAGCAUGAGAGAGAGCAGAGUCCAGACAGACGGAUCUUGCAUGGGCAGUCGCAAGGCCAGCUUUCUGUCCAGAUUGCUGUCUGAAAAGGGACAGCUGUACAGUGACUCAGUAAGCUCCAGUUCUCGAAAUAGCUCUUGCCUGGGCUUUCCACACCGGGAAAACAGCCCCUCACUUCUGCCUUCAGCCACUGAGCACAGAACAUCAAUGAACAUGCUUCUAGAACUUUCAUCCAUUAUGAAAAAAUAAUGCAUCCUGGGACCAGAAAAAACAGACUCAGGAGCAGCUGGCAUCUGCGAGAUAGAAGUUGUAUGUUUGUCAGCUCAAACUGCAGGAGGAACUCUGAGAACCAUCCCCUCCAGAACCAUGAACCAGGCAAUGGCUGUGUAUCGAGGGCUCCCAGCUGGGCUCCCUGACCGCUGGGGUCAGCCUCUCACUGCUCCACUUGGCCAUGCUGCCUGAGGCCGGUCCAGUGCUCUCCAUACACCAGGGAGGCACUCUACCCCAUCAGAGAAAAUCUAGGGGCAAGAGCCGCCAUCCGCGGGGAGGAGGAGUGAGAUAUGCUACCAUCCCUGCCAGUAGCGGGCUCUGCAGCAGCAGCAGUUUGGACCCUUGAACAUGGUUCCAGAGCAGGCUGGGAGCUCUGCCUGCAGCCUGGGCUCAACAUGCUUCCUGUCUGUACACCAGAAGUUGGAGGGAAGCUUUUUGUGUUCUUCCUCUCGUCAGCUCAUUUCUUGGGGAUGAAGCAGCUGGAUGUUCGUCCCUAGAUGCCAUUACAUAAAAUAUUGAUUAUGGCACUGGCAAACACUCGCAUCACAUGACUUUAUCCUUCUGCUGGGAUCAUCGUCAGUAGUGAUGCCAUGACUGUGGGCCAGCAGGUGCUGCGGAAUCUUAUUCCCAACUUCCAGGGGAGUGACUGAAGCCGGCACCACUUCCUCACCCUCCCCACCCUCCCAGUGGUCCCGAGCCAUCCAGGAGAGGUGCAUCAAAAAAGCACUGAACACUUCUUACAGAGCACAGAGGCGUGGAUGGCUGUGUGAUGUCCACUAACUAUCCAGUCGAUGAGGCUGGUUGGCUGGUCAUUACUGUCUGAGUUCUGAGAAUCAUAAAGGUGGACUUAAUUCCCAUGGAAGGAGCCACUUAGCCCUGUCCUCUAUCCCGUGGCCAGACUCUCCUAUCCCUGGCCACACACCUUGUAACAAAGGCUUCAAGUUAUUGGGAGAAUCAAUUUGUUCCAGAGACACAAAGGUCUGCAUCAUCUAUAUCCUGCUGAGAUAAAAUCCAUACUCCUUAGCCUGGCACAUAAAGCCUUCAUGGGCUGACUCCUGCCUCAUGUUCAUUCCCUACCUCCUGUGCCCUAACCCGGCUGCGCUAUGAGUAAAGCAGAUCGUCUUCCCAUUGUGGGUGACCAGCAGCCAAUCUGUUGAGGGCCUGCAUAGAAUAAAAAAGUGGAAGAAGAGUGAAUUUGCUUUCCCUAUUUGAGCUGGAACAUCAGUCUUCUCCCUUGGACUGAGACUUAUAUCAUUGGCUCUAUAGUUCUCAGAACUAUGCCACCGGCUUUCCUGGGCCUCCAGCUUGCAAAAGGUAAAUUGUGGAAUUUCUUAGCCUCCAUAAUUGUGUGGGCCAAUACGAACAAAUCAACCAAUCAAUCAACCUGUGUCUAUAUCUAUAUCUGUCUCUCUAUAAAAUCUCCUAUUGGUUCCGUCUCUCUGGAGAACCCUAAUACCCUGGGUAACUGCCCAGGAUUUUGCAGAACGGAGCCCAGUGCUGGCUGGGGCUGGUCUGUGCUUCUAGCCCGAACGGCUCCUGAGUCUUCUCUGUUCCAAUUUGCAGAGGAGGAAGUGAGGGGUGGAGAUGUGAAGAGGGGUGUGAUCUUUUCCACAAUGAAUUGGUAGAAGAGCCUGUGAAGACCAGGUGGAUGGAAACGAUGCCGGGGCCAAGCCCAGCUGGGUGCCAUUUUAAGGGGCAUACCAUGUUCCAGCAUACAGCAGACCUGCUGGCAGGGAGUAGGCAGACUGAGAUUCCUCACUGCUCUGGAAGUAGAUACAAGUCACACCUAAGGUGCACAUUCAAGGGCAACAGACCUUUCCUGAGAGGCUUCUCAAGACUGUCUUGUUGUGAGGAACCUACAGUCUAGGGCCAGGGCUGAGGAGAGACACAUACACGGAUAAUGCAAGACUAAUGUGGUAAGUAUGAAGCCAAAGGUCAGAUCAGGGCUCUGAGGACAGGUGCUCAGCCUCACCAGGGACUCAGGAAAGGGGCUUAUUGGAGAGGUGACAGUAACCUGACUCUUAAGGAACAAAGGAUGUAGUCAGAGAAAAAAAACAGUCGAGGACUGUCCGAGGUAGAGGAGAAAUAGCAGAGGCAUGAGCACAGAGGUAGAAACAGCAGGAGAUGGGGCUGAGGGGAAGAGCAUCCAGUUUGAUUUUAUUGGGGGUCCAGUUCCAAGAAGAGAGAGGAAGGUGAUGCUGGAGGGUAGACUGAAUCAUGGAGAGCACAGUGCAUCUUGCUAAGGAGCUUGGCCUUUAUUUUGUAGGUGAUGGCAGCCACUGAACAUGGGCACAUUUUCCCUGCUUGGCUGGUGUUAAUUAAGAGAAAAAAAAAAAAGACCCCAAGGUCCAGGACUAUCUUGGUAACAGGUAACAUUUACUCAGGCUUCUCAAAUGUCUUAUUUUGCUCUUAGGUUCUCGUUAGGACAACGGCUUACCAGGAGGCAAAGGACUGCCACGUAUAGCCUGAGGACCCAAACUUAGAUCAUGACCACAGUCCGUGGCCUCCCUCUUCUUCAGCCUGACACAGACAGGGCACCUGGGAUGAGUUUCCAGGAUUUGGCCGGCAGAAAGGCUGAGCUGAGUGAAGGUGCGUUGAUUGCCUUCAAGGGUACAAUCAGGAGCCAGAGGCCACCUGGAUUUACUUCCUGUAGCUUAAGGUUGCUUAUCAGGGAGAAGGGAGUGCAGAGCUCUGAGUGAGGGGGAGGCUUGGGAGAUGGGAGAUUAUUCCCCAAGACAAAAUACUCUCAGGCACAGGGAGGAGGUGACAGCCACUUUGAGGCAGAAUUCAGGACCCUGGGGCUGUGAAGGGCUUCAGGAGAUGACAUGGCUGAGCGAUCCCUGGUGGUAGGCUGGUGUCCUGCCUCUAACCUACACUCCUCCAUGGGAGGUGGGAGAAAGCAGUGCAAAUAACAAGAUUUGGAAUCAGGCAGCUGGGUUUGCAUUCAAGCUCUGCCACAUAGUGGGGAGUUACCUAACCUCUCUGCACUCUGGUUUCCUCCUUUGUAAAUGGAGAUAAAGUAGAACCUAAAUCAUAGGGUUGAUGUGAGGAUUACAUGUGAUCACCUACAGAAAGAGAUUAGAAUAAUAUCUGGUCCACAUAUGCACUCAAUAAAUGUUAGCUCUCAGCACAUGUUGAAUGGAAAAUAAAAAAGAAGCACCUCUAGGGGAGGGAAGGAAUGGGAGUUUGGGAUUAGCAGAGGCAAACUAUUAUAUAUAGAAUGGAUAAACAACAAGGUCCUACUGUAGAGCACAGGGAACUAUAUUCAAUAUGCUGUAACAAACUAUAAUGGAAAAUAAUAUGAAAAAGAAUAUAUGUAUAACUGAGUCGCUUUGCUGUACAGAAGAAAUUAACACAACACUGUAAAUCAACUAUAUGUCAAUAAAUUUAAAAAAAUAUACGAAUGGCUGAAAGAUAUAAAAUACUGACACACAAUCACACACCUGCACAGACACACACACAUUACAGAUGUAAAGGUAUUAUUUUUGUUGAGAACUCGUUAAAAAUCAACUCGAACUUCCCUGAACGGUGGCCCUUCUCUCUACCUCUCCGGCCUUCGCUACCAUAACUUUGCAUCAGCCCCGGUCACUCCAGGUUGCUGACAGCAAAGGGCGGGCCAACUCACC